rnacentral:rRNA from 1 species
AUUGAACGCUGGCGGCAGGCCUAACACAUGCAAGUCGAGCGAGCGGCGGACGGGUGAGUAAUGUCUGGGAAACUGCCUGAUGGAGGGGGCUAACUACUGGAAACGGUAGCUAAUACCGCAUACCAUCAGAUGUGCCCAGAUGGGAUUAGCUGGUAGUUGGGGUAACGGCUCCCCUAGGCGACGAUCCCUAGCUGGGCUGGGAGGAUGACCAGCCAAACGGGAACUGAUACACGGUCCAGACGCCUACGGUAGGCAGCAGAGGGGAAUAUUGCACAAUGGGAGCAAGCCUGAUGCAGCCAUGCCGCGUGUGUUAAGAAGGCCUUCGGGUUGGAAAGCACUUUCAGCGGUGAGGCGUUACCCGAAGAAGAAGCACCGGCUAACUCCGUGCCAGCAGCCGCGGUAAUAC